rnacentral:misc_RNA from 1 species
AAAGAAUCCGAUGUUUUCAGUUAUGGAGUUGUUUUGCUCGAACUAAUAACCAGAAAGAAGGCAGUUGAUUCAUCAUUCACAGAGGGAACAGAUAUUGUGGGUUGGAGUAGGUCUAUAUGGAGAAACACAGAGGAUAUUAGCAGGAUUGCUGAUUCAAGCCUUGCAAUGGAAUUCUCUGAUACCAGUAUCAUGGACCAAGUUAUUGAUGUGUUUCUGGUGGCCUUGAGAUGUACCGAAAGGGAGCCAAGCGAAAGACCGACAAUGAGAGAUGUCGUCAAGCAAUUAUUAAACGCAAAUGUCUCCAUCAAACCAUUGCACAUUUGCUCUGGUAAGGACAUUAAGAGUUGCGUUUGAGUAGAAGAGAUUGGCUAGGCUAGGCUAGGUAGGCAGAUCAAUGUUAGGACUUGUACUUACUGUUUAGUUAGAUAGGCCUUCUUGUCUUGGUUGAG